rnacentral:rRNA from 1 species
UACGUAGGGUGCAAGCGUUGUCCGGAAUUAUUGGGCGUAAAGAGCUCGUAGGCGGUUUGUCGCGUCUGCUGUGAAAACUCGGGGCUUAACCCCGGGCCUGCAGUGGGUACGGGCAGACUAGAGUGCGGUAGGGGAGACUGGAAUUCCUGGUGUAGCGGUGAAAUGCGUAGAUAUCUGGAGGAGCACCGGUGGCGAAGGCGGCAUUCUGGACCGAUAUUGACGCUGAGGAGCGAAAGCCAGGGGAGCAAACGGG